rnacentral:rRNA from 1 species
UUGAGGUUCAUAUGGUUGAGGGCUA